rnacentral:ribozyme from 14 species
CAAACUCACAGCAGAAAGAAAGAAAGAAAGAAAGAAAAAAAAAAAAGAAAAUGAAGUGGGAUCUCUUCUUCCUCUUCUUUUAAACCUUUGAUCACACUCAAUCGAAUCAUUCCCCUUCCCUUGCACUCAAUCUC